UCAUUUUGUUGGCCUGUGUAAUUGUUCCUGAUUUAUUGAGUCAUAUGCUUUAGAAAGGUCCAAAAAUAUAGCUAAAGCUGUUUUUCCCAAUUAAAUCUACUAUUGCCUUUAUGAAAUCGAAUAUCGCUGUUAGAACUGAUCUACCUCUUAAAUAGCCAUGUUGUGUUUUUGUAAAGAGAUCACAUUCAUUAAGGAAGGUAAUGAGUCUCGUCUAGUUCUUUUGGAUCCCCUUUCUUCAAUGAUGGCUUAAUGAUAGCGAUCUCUAGCUGCUCUGGAAACACACCUUGUUUGAAUGAUAAAUUGAUGAGGUAUGAUAACUGGAGGUUUAUGGAUGGUAUUGACAUUUUAACAAUGUUUAUUGGUAUCUCGUUAACUCCACUUGUGUACUUGUUUUUCAGUAGUUUUCCAAGUUCCAAUAUUUCAUCAGGAGUGGUUGGUCUUUAAUACAUCGAUUUAUUUUGGUUUCUUAUUCUAUCAUUGGUUUUUCCUUGCAAUGUGUCAGUUGGUUGGUUAGUAAAAUGAUUAUUGAAUUUUUCUGCUAUUUCCUUCGGUUCCCCUUCAAUGUGACAUUCCUCAUGAUGCACCUGAUUACCUCUUAACUCCUUGCAUAUUUUCUAUGCGUCUUUCGAACAUCUCCGACUUGCUUUUGAUAAUAAGGUUAUCAUAUUCCUUUUUGGUGUCGUUGUACAUUUUUCUGUAGAUUGGAUUGUGUGUGCAUAAUACUAAUAAGGCGUCCAACCGCUUCUUACAACUCUGGAUAUCAUAGUUAUGUAGUAUUUAUGUACUAUUGCUCUCAAUGACAUGUUUUACAGGAAAACAAUCAUUGAAUUACUGAAUUACUGAAACUCUUGAACAUUGAAACUAGUGAAAGCAAUUAUCGUUCCUAAUAUCAAUUAGAAUAGGUGAAGGUUUCAGUCACGAGGAACUAUUAAUGUACAAUUUAUUCAGCAGCGCUGCUGAGGUAGGGUAAACAUAGCGAAAAGUAGAGACUCUGAAACUCUUGAACAUUAAAACUAGUGAAAGCAAUUAUCGUUCCUAAUAUCAAUUAGAAUUCAGCAGCGCUGCUGAAUAAAUUGUACAUUAAUAGUUCCUUGUGACUGAAACCUUCACCUAUUCUAAUUAAAACUAGUAAUAAGAGUAGUUCUAGCAGUAGAAGUUAUAAUAAUUGUAGUAGUAAUAGCAGCAAUAAUCUCGAGACUGGUCAUAGGUCAUAUUUCCGGAGCAAAUGCAACAAAUGUGGGAUAUUUGGACACUUAGUGAAUAACUGUAGGAAGGGGAAGACAACACCCCCAGGGAACAAAAAUCUUCAGUCUUCGUUGUUUGUUUCUGUUUUCAGUGCUGAGCUAGGCAAUCCAAAAGGAGAAUGGAUCCUUGAUAGCGGAGCUACAAACCAUAUUUUUUGCAUGAAGGAAUGGUUUUUGACACUAAAACCAAUGGACCAGGUGGCAGAGUUGGCAGAAGGCAUUUCGCAAAUAGAAGGAGUAGGGGAUUGGAAUAGUAAGUUUGUGGCUAUCCUUUUUGAAGUGCACUUCAAAAACGAUAGAUUUCAUUUGCCCUGUCCUGGCACAUCAAAAAGGAUAGAUUUCAUUUGCCCUGUCCUCAAGCCACAAACUUACUAUUUCAAUUCCAUGCAAGGACGCGAAGAAGAGAAUAUGAAGUAGGGGAUGUGAAAUUAAUUACCCAAAGGGAAGGUAGGCUAUAUAAUGUCAUACUCAAAGAUGUUUUAUAUGCACCAAAUAUUAGGGGGAAUAUAAUCUCUGGUAGGACACUAGAUCAAGCAGGUGCAACCAUGAUAUGGGAGAAUGGAAAGAUUCUCUGAUACCAUAACUCGAAGUACCCCAUAAUGGAAGCAAAACUUACCAACAGGCUCUAUGUAGUGAGUGGGGAGGCUGUAACAAAGAAUGAGAUAUGUGCAACGGAAGGUUAAGAUAUCUCACGUCAGAAUUUUAAAGCAAAUGAUCAAAUUGCCUUAUGGGACACCCCAACAUUCGCGUGAUGGUAGAUAUGUCGAAAUUAAAUUUUGUUGUGGGAUUAGAUGAAGUUCAGAAUAUCCCUGAUGACUUUGAUUGUAACACUUGUGCCAUUGCCAAAUCAAAAAAAAAGAGUUCUUUUAAGGGAAUAUCAACAUUAAACACUAAGAGAGUGCUAGAACUGGUGCACUCAGACUUGUGAGGCCCCUCACCAAUUAAAUCAAUGGGUGAGGCUAUUUACUUCAUAACGUUUAUGGACGACUAUUCAAGAAGAUGCACAGUUAGGUUCUUACAGCCAAAGAAGAAGGCUUUGACGCUUUCAAGGAGUAUUUAGCUCAUGCUGAAAGGGAAACCGGUGUGAAACUGAAGAGACUAAGGACAGAUAAUGGGUUGGAAUUCUGCGCUCAAUAUUUCACUGACCAUCUGCAGGAAAUCGGUAUAAAGAAUAAGAGAACAAAUGUGCUCUCUCCCCAGAUGAAUGGUAUUGCCGAGCGGUAUAAUAGAACGGCUUUGGAAGGAGUGAGAUAUCUACUUUUUGAGAGUAGACUAAAUGAGAAAUUCUGGGCGGAAGCCCCAAAUACAUUUGUCUACCUAAGGAAUCGGAUAAUACAUUCGAAGACUAAUGACCAGAGUGGAGAUGGGGACAAAAGAACGUGACCCUUAAGUUCUUGAGGAAAUUUGAAAGUCUAGCCUACAUACAUGAACCGAGGAGGAGUAAAUUUCAGACACGAGCAAAGCUAGGUGUAAUGCUGGGUUACGCAAUUAACACGGCUGAUUACAAGAUAUGGUCAAUAGGCGAAGAAAAAGUAAUAGAGAGCAAACAUGUGAAAGUAGUUGAAACCAAAUGUGCUUCUCUUUAUUUCCCGAGGCUGGUUGUAAAUAAGUCUCCUGUUUGCCUUUGGGAAAACUUGGAACACAGCAAGACGGAGAGAGUUAAUCCAGGUGGCUUUAACCGAUAUUCAGAUGAGUUUAAGUCAAAUGAUGGGCUGGAUGAUGGAGGAUGCCACGAUGAAUGGGAAAGAAUAGUGAAGAUAAGAAAAUCAGGGGAAACAAAAGGUAGGGCAGACAUAUAUUAUAAGAAUAAAGAAGGAGUUAUUUUGAGAUCUGUGCCAGAUGCUAGGAGGUAUUUAGAGGAGAGGAAGAAAAUUGUCGAUUCAAUGAAAUUCAAAGAAGAAUAGAGAGGAUAUAAAUCUAUUGGAAACAGAAGAUGAAUCAGAAGCAUUACCAGAGAGUAACUAUUCUAUUCUAUUCUAUUCUUUAUUCAUCAUAACAAAUAUAAACAAGUUAUAAACAGAAUUACAGAGUCAUACAAUCUAAACUUAAGUUUGUAUACUGUAUGACCCUUCCAAUUUUUGAUGAAUACAAAAAGAAACACAAAAAAAGAAAGAAACCCAAAUAUACCAAAAAUCCACAAACUAUAUGAAGUGCUCAAUGAGGAGAGCAAGCCAAAACCAUCAACUUCGCAGAGCCUAAACAUGGUGAGGCCCACACUGGGCCACAGGAAUAUGCAAGAUAUUAGAUGCACAAACAGUAGGUACAUAAAUAUCAUUUACUGUCAAUUUAAAGUUGUGUCGUCCCGGUAAGUAAAGCAGAAAAAUAUUUUGAAUUUUCUAAAACAAAGUUUUUCAAUUUAUCCCUAUGUUGUUUUUUUUAAUAUUGAAAUUCAAAUUUAAAGAAAAGUGUGCUGCAGAUGUGAACUAUCAAAUCUAGGAACUAUGACCGUUUUUCUGUUGGUAUAUCUAGUUGGACGCAGAAAUACCGUCUGGACCCGGUGCAGAAUUGUUCCUCAGGGAGGCAAUCACAUUAACAAUCUCAUUUUCUGUUACUGGACUAAGGUAGAUGGAGGCCUCAGUCGCAUGGAAUUUUGGUACCAGAUCUUUAUUGUGCGGUCCGAUUUUUUUAAUUAUCUGUUUGGCAAUAGUUGUGAAAAAUGAAUUGAAUCAUUCUGCCUUAU